UGUGUGAUGAAGGCCUUCGGGUUGUAAGCACUUUUGUCAGGGAGGAAGGGGUGAUGUUUAAUAUGCACCAUUCUUGACGGUACCUUCCCAGAAAGCACCGGCUAACUCCGUGCCAGCAGCCGCGGUAAU
rnacentral:rRNA from 1 species